rnacentral:rRNA from 1 species
UCCUACGGGGGGCAGCAGUGGGGGAUAUUGCACAAUGGGGGGAACCCUGAUGCAGCGACGCCGCGUGGGUGAAGAAGCGCCUCGGCGCGUAAAGCCCUGUCAGCAGGGAAGAAAAUGACGGUACCUGAAGAAGAAGCCCCGGCUAACUACGUGCCAGCAGCCGCGGUAAUACGGAGGAUGCGAGCGUUAUCCGGAUUUAUUGGGUUUAAAGGGUGCGUAGGCGGAUCGUUAAGUCAGUGGUCAAAUUGAGGGGCUCAACCCCUUCCCGCCAUUGAAACUGGCGCUCUUGAGUGGAAGAGAAGUAU